GGGGUGGAAAUUCUCUUAAACCAAACUGCUUGAUCCUGUGUUAAAUGGAAAGAUUUGGGUUCAAAUAUAAUUUCUUUUGAAAUAGAAUAAGGGUGAAGAUUGGGAAAGGAAAGGAAAGGACUAUCCUUUUGUGUAGCUCAGAUUCAUUGCUUGGAGAAUGAAAAAGAAAAUCCAGUUUGGAAAUUGGGCAAGCAAUAUCUUCCUUGUUGACAAAAAAUCAAGAGUGUCUACAAAGUGCAACUCUGGCCCAUCUUUUAAGCAUAAAAGUGCAACAAGUCUUUUUCAAUGGUUGCAUUGGCCAUACCCUCUUGCUUUCUGCAUGCAAGGCUCGCCAAAGUGCCCUCAACUAGUCCUGAGCUUAAUGUAACCCUACCAAGUAUCAGAAAUCAAAGCUUCAAUCCUCAAGGCCCCAUGUAACUACUAACCUUUUGUACAAGUCUAUGUGGAAUUCUCAAAGAGCAAUAUCAAAAAAAAUAGGCAAGACUUAACCGAUUAGCUUUAACUCAUUGAUAUUGAGUCAUCUGUAGAGUUUUGAAGUCUCAAAUUUGAAUUUGAACCAAAGCUAAAUAAACCAAAAGAAAAAAAAAAUAAAAGAACUACAUCCCAAUCAGCACACAUGUUUCCCUCUCCAUUUGCAUGAUUAACCUGAAACUAUCCACACAUGUUUCCCUCUCCAUAUGCAUAAUUAACCUGAAACUAUCCAUGGACAAAGAGAGUAACCUCUUUUCUUCUUUAGUGUUUGCAUUUCAGCUUCUGG
rnacentral:misc_RNA from 1 species